UCGCUUCUCUUAUCUCUCUCUCUCUUUUAACUCGCACAAAUACAAAAACGCUCGCACUCACAGAUCUCAAAUUUGAGUGGAACGUUUCUCCGUUAAGCCAUGGCUCUGGUCUUGCAUGGUUUGAAAGGACACAAAAGUCCAUUCAAGGCACUCAUUGCUGCAGAGUACAAUGGUGUGCAAGUCAAAUUGGUCGAUAAUUUUGAGUUGGGUGUCACAAAUAAGAGCCCUGAGUUUCUCAAGUUGAACCCAAUUGGGAAGGUAAGGUGUAGAUUACAAUGUAUAGUUGCU